rnacentral:lncRNA from 1 species
UUCACAGCAGUCAUUAUUAUUAAAAAGUAAAAAACAAAACAAACAAACAAAAAAACAGAUAUUGGCAAGGCUGCAGAGAAGAAGCAAUGCUUAUUUGCUGUUGGUACGAAUGUAAAUUAGUUCAGCCACUGUGGAAAGCAGUUUGGAGAUUUCUCAAAGAACUAAAAAUAGAACUACCAUUCAACCCAGCAAUCCCAUUACUGGGUAUAUACCCCAAAAUAAAUCAUUCUGCCAAAAAGCACUAUUCACAAUAGCAAAGACAUGGAAUCAACCUGGGUGCCCAUCAAUGGUAGAAUGGAUUAAGAAAAUGUGGUACAUAUACACCAUGGAACACUACACAGCCAUUAAAAAAAAAAGAAUAAAAUCAUGUCCUUGGCAGCAACAUGGAUGCAGCUGAAGGUCAUUAUCCUAAGAGAAUUAAUACGGAAACAGAAAACUAAAUAUUGCAUGUUCUCACUUAAAAGUGGGAGCUAAAUAUUGGGUGCACACGGACAAAAAGAUGGGAACAAUAGACGCUGAGGACUCCAAAAGGAGAGAAGGAAGGAGGAGAGCAAGGGCUGAAAAUCUCCCUAUUGGGUACUACGUUCACCAUCUGGGUAACCAGGUCAAUAGAAGCCCAAGCGCUCAGCAAUAUACUCUUGUAACAAACCUGCACAUGGACUCCCUAAAUCUAAAAUUAAAAUAGAAAUUUUAAAAAAGAAGCAGGCUGGGCGUGUGAAGCCCAAAGAACUCCGUCUGAAAACUGUUCUGCUGUUUCUGCAAUGUGGCUACAGUCACUGCCCACCAAGUAUCUAGGGCCCAGAGGCACGGGUGUUGCGGUAUGGAUGUGUCCACCUGGAUACACACGGUUUCAAUUCAUUUAAAUGGCAAACAAAGGUCUUGGGCAGAUUUCGAAGAGAAGCGGUGAGCUGCGAGACAUUUCCGAGCAAGAGCUGAUGUGGAGGGUUUCCAGGGCCGGGUGAGGGUCCCUCAGCCACAGCGAUGUUUUAGCCUCCACGGUGGAACUCAGAGGCUCCCCCGCCACAGCCUCCCGCCUGCGCUCAUGCGCUUCCUCCAGGCCUUAUUUGUAAGUCUGUUGAUUUCGCAGACCGCACCUUGCAAGGAGCACACGGUCCGUCUUAGUAUUUCAUAACCAUUUCUUCUCUUUUUGUUUUCUACCCGGCCUGGCUCUGUGUCUAGGACUCAGCCUGCCUUCCCGGGGCUCGGCCUGCCCCGCCUGCCUAAGAAUCUCACAAAUCAUUGACGGCAUGGGGGAGGGGAGAAGGGGAGACGGCCUGUAGCGGGGAAAUGGUGCCCUGGAAGCCAGGGUUCUACUCCCUCCGCCGAUUUGUAGGACAAAGAAGGCAAAGCUCUUGCGUGGAAGCUCGGCCCUCUCAGCCCCGACCGAGGCCGUUAUAACUCAAAUUCACGACCUCUGGGGAUGGAAAACACCCGGCCUUACCGAGGAACAAAGGGCAAGUGUUCCCGCACUGCGCCGCGUUCGUGGGCUCGGGGUUUCCGCUGCUGGGUCCAGCUUUUGGUUAUCUUGCUUGGCUGGUCCCUGCGGGGCCCACCGCUGCGGAAGGACAGGGCUCUGGGGCUGCCACCCCACAGCCCCUGCCAUUCAAGAGU